rnacentral:lncRNA from 1 species
UCAAACAUAAACUGACUCAUUAAAGUAUCAAGUCGAAAAAUUUAGCUCGUAUUCAACUCGUUUAUUAGUUAGCCGAACACGAGCUAACGUACAAACAAUAAAUUAAAAAAAUUAGAAUAUAUAUAUAUAGUAGGGCUACUAUACUCUUAUGAGUAUAGAGCCAUUCGUACUCAUAAAUUAUUUUCGAUGAUGAAAAUUCCGAAUCGACGAUCUACUCCAUUAAGUAUGAGCUACAGUAUUUGAAACUUCUAAAAAAUAAAUUUCAUAAUUUUUUGAAAUCAUAAUAAAGUCUAUUAAGCAGGCAUAAAAGGAACAGUCAAAAUCGAACGACGUUCUAAAAAUGAAAGAUCGGAUCCUUCAAUUUAAGAUUGGAGUUAUUGAUAUUUAUCUAGAUAUCAAAUAAAACUUUUUUCAUCAAAAAUUCAACCUAUUUCAAUUUUUUUACAUCGUUAAACUAGCAAGUAUCCCAUACCGACUAUUAAAAAUUGUCAAUUUUGUGAUUUUUUGAUCGUAAGGUAAAUGAUGUCGAAAAAUUAUAAAAUUUGAUUUCUAGAAAUUUUAAAUGCUCUAGAUAAUAUUUAACGGUAUGAAUCGUCGAUUCGGAAGCUUUAUCAUCGAAAACGACUAAUGAGUACGUGAGUAAUCGUACUCAUAAGAGUAUAGUAACCGGACUAUAUAUAAAAUAAAUUUAUGAGAUGUUAUUCAUUAGACUUUGAUUUUAUGCUUAAAAUUUUACAUAUAAAUGACCCUUUUUUAUAAUUAAGUUGUGCUUUAUAUUUAGAUUGGACUAAAUUCAGAUAAUAAAAAUCUAUAUUAUAUAUAUAUAAUUAUUUAUUUAUAUAUGAAAAUAUAAAAUGUAUAAAUUAUAUAAAUAUCAAGUAUAUGUAUUUGAACUGUUAUCGAGCUGAACACGAGCUAGCUGAUCCCAACUCGUGCUCGACUCGUUUAUUAAACGAGCUGAAAAAUUCAGCUUAUGUUCAACUCGUUUACUAAAUUAGCAAUUUGAUUUCGAGCUUAUUUCGAGCCGAACACGAGUUGGCGCUCACAAACAACCACCUGAAUUGCCACCUUUACUUGUACCUAUACUGCUUGAUGUGGCCAGCAAUGAUGGAGACUAAAUUUGUACCCUACGAAUUAGACACAUGAGUUAACCCCCUUAUUAAACACCAAAAACCAAAACAUCCACCCAACCCUAGAGCCACAUACACAAACCCCCUAAGAGCCUUAACAAGCACUAUUUAAUUAAAUGCACCCAGUGGAAUGGUGAGUUGGGGUGCCAAGUGAGAUCACUGUCAUAAAAGCAAUUCACUAAAGCUAUGGCCCAAACAUUAACUUAGAUAAAAGUUGGUUCAUUAGACUCCAUCAACAAUAAAAGCCAACAAAUUAAUAUUGGUCUUUGAUUCCACCCCACACUAACCAACAUACUUGGCCACAUGGGUGAGGAGGACUGGAGGAGAGUAUAUACAAGGGUUGUUGGGUGCCACUAUUGUAAUUGUCUCAAAAACCAAGCUCUAAUUUAAGUAACACUUGCUUAUAUAUACCCAUGCAUUUCUCAAUACCACAAAAAGGAGACAUAUAUGCAUGCAUCUUGGGUUCCUAGGAUCCUAAGAAGGUUGAGGAAAUAAUUAGGAUGAUCUCAAAGGUGUUGUACAAGUACUUCCUCUUCUUCUACAAGGUCCUCCUAAGGAGGGUGAGGCUUGCACAUGGAUGCCAUGGGAAACUACAAAAGUCCCCUCCUCUUGAGAAGCUCUCCAACUCCAACCAAGCCAUAGUGUGUGAUGUGGAGGGAGGGCUCCUUAGGUCAUCCUCCACUUUCCCCUACUUCAUGCUUGUGGCCUUGGAGGGAGGAGGGUUCUUUAGGGGGCUUCUCCUCUUAGUUUUGUACCCUCUCCUUUGCUGUGUUGGGUGUGAGCUAGGGCUUAGGGUUAUGGUGAUGGUGUGCUUUUUUGGGAUCAAGAGGGAAGGGUUUAGGGUUGGGAAGGCCAUCUUGCCAAAGUUCCUCAUGGAGGAUGUGGGGUUGGUAGGGUUUGAGGCAUUGAACAAGGGCUCUAAGAGGGUUUGUGUUAGUAGAAUGCCAAGGGUGAUGGUGGAGGGUUUUUUGAAGGAUUACUUGGAGGUGGAGGUGGUGAUAGGGAGGGAGUUGAAGGAGUUUCAUGGUUACUACACUGGGCUUAUGGAGGAGGAAGGUGAGGCUAUGGAGAGAUUGGAUUUGAAGGAGUUGAUGGGGAUGGGAGAUGGAGUUGUUGGUAUGGGGGGAUAUGCAAGUUCUCUCCACCACCCCUUGUUCUCCCUUUGCAAGGUAUAUAUAUAUAUAUAUAUAUUAAUUAGUCAUGAAUAUCAUUCUAUGUUUAUGUCUCUUCAUUUUUUUCAUUGAAGAUCUAUUAAUUUAUAGUGUUUUAUUUAAGUAGAACUAGCUGGUCCUACAUAGGUAUAUAUUUAUUUAUUAUCAUGAAUUGUGUGAUCGAUCGAAGGUUUGUGUGUGUGUGUGUGUGUGUGUCUAUAUAUAUAUAUAUAAUUAGCUAGGUCCCAUAUGGCCCAACUUCUUUGUUUGUAGUGUAACCUGUUGCUAAAGACCCAGCUAGCUAGUUUGCUCUAGAACCCUUUAUGGUAGUAGUUAGCAUAACUUAGUAAUUAAGUAGCUUCUUUAAUCGAGAUAUUAAAAGAUAUAUGUAAUUCAAAAUAACUAUUUAGAAACUUCUAACUAGGCACGUUGGUAAAACAAAAGUAAGCUUUUAAGCCCAAGAGAGAGCAAAAGACUUAAUCAUUUAGGUCCUAUAUAUAUGGCCCAACUUCUUCGUUUGCAUCGUAAUGUACCACUACAGAAUCAGCUAAUCUGAUCUGAUCUAGAACCCUUUGUGGUUAUAGUAAGAUGUGAUUUGCCAUCUUAUAGUUUACUAGAUUGCAAUAACUCCUAAGUUGAACUUUUCCUAGAUUAUUAAUUGUAUUGUAUACUAUUAUAUAUUAUAGCAUGUCAAUGUCAAUUUUGAAAUGUAUAGCUGGACCAAUAAUUAGGCCCUUACUUAGAUUGGUACUUUGAUUUUUAUUUCCAACUAUACAUGCAUGGUAUUUGAACAGGAACUUCUUAGGGCUUCUUGAAAACUCCAGUGGUCCAAAUGCCAUUUAAUGACCAUCUUGCUUACUUUUCUUUCCUAUUAAUGGCAUUAUUUAAGAAUUGCCUCAUCCUUGAUAUAUACUUUUUAUUUCCAAAAAUAGAAAGCAAUCCAAAAUUACUAUAGUGGUCAAAGAAAAAUAAGUGGUUAAAAGUUGCUAGUUGUUUAUUAGAGUUUAUUAAGGCAUACUUUUUAUUAUGAUGUGUGGAGAUAAUUCUAAAUUAUGUUUAAAUCAAAAAUUAGUAUAUAAAUAAUCUAAAACUUUCGUUUGGAAUACAAUUAGUUGCCGAUCGGUCUCUCAAAAUGCUGUUCUUAUAGACUUUUGAUUUAUAGGCAUAAAUGACUACAAAAAUUGUAUAGCAUGACUAAAUGACUACAAAAAUGUUCUCAAACAUUAAUAAUUAGAUCAUAGCAACUUUUCUACAUAUAUAUGUUUUCAUUGAAUGCACAUUAUCAAUUUCCAUAUUGUAAUUUCUGAGAAAUUCUAUUGUGUAAGGUUUUUUUUGUUAUUAAAACUUUUGUUAGGAAGUAUACUUGGUGAGUGAAAUUGAGAAGAGGAAAUGGCAACCCCUACCAAGAGCAAUGUACCCUAAGCCCUUAGUAUUUCAUGAUGGAAGAAUAGCCUUCAAGCCAACUCCCUCCUCCACCCUCUCCAUGUUUCUUUGGCUCCCUCUCGGCGUCGCCCUCGCGAUCGCGCGUGCCGUCGUCUUCCUCUUCCUCCCUUUCAAGCUCGCCAUCCCCAUCCUUGCCCUCCUGGGCAUGAACAACACCGGCCGUUGCAUCCCUCGCUCCUCUUCUCCCUCUCCCUCAUCUCCGCAACUCUUCGUUUGCAACCACCGCACCCUCCUCGAUCCUCUCUACAUAUCCGCUGCCGUCAAACGAAACCUGACCGCCACAACAUACAGUCUGAGUCGCAUGUCGGAGCUCUUGUCGCCUAUAAAAACCAUUCGGCUAACGAGGAACAAGAAACUUGAUAGAGAGAAGAUGGAAAAGGUUCUCCAAGAUGAAGGUAGCAAAUAAACCACCAAUCGAUUUAUGUAAAAGCUUAAAGCUAUCAGAGAACGGUGAUUCUAAUAAUUUAUGUUCGACAGGCCUUGUGGUUUGCCCUGAGGGGACGACAUGUCGCGAGCCGUAUCUUCUACGGUUUAGCCCGCUUUUCGCCGAGCUAGGGCGCGAGAUCGUGCCCGUCGCGCUAGACUCACGGGUCGGGAUGUUCUACGGCACGACGGCCGGCGGGCUCAAGUGCUUGGAUCCAUUGUACUUCCUCAUGAACCCAAUACCUACUUAUAGGGUUGAGUUCUUAGAUAAGGUGGAUACUACAUCUAUUGAAGGGAGGGGUUGCAAUAGUGUGGAAGUGGCUAACUAUGUUCAAGAGAAAAUUGCAAAAGCUCUAGGGUUUGAGUGCACAAGUUUGACAAGGAGGGACAAGUACUUGAUGCUUGCAGGGAAUGAAGGGUUUGUGGAGGCAAAGAGGAGGUGAUAUAUAUAUCAUACACUACUAAGAAAAAAAAAAAAAAAAAAAAAAAACCUUUUCUAAUUGCAUUUUCUUUGUGAUAAUUUUGUUGGAACUUAGAAGUUUCAUCUUGCAUGAAAAAAGAAAGAUGUUUAUAUAACUUGCUUUAUUUGUUUCCUUUAUUAGAGCACAUAGUGCUGUUGCUGCACUCUAAUUCUUUUUUCAUGUAAUUAAGAGAAUAAGAUUUGUUGAUGUACAUUAAUUUAAUCAUCAACAUAUAUUGCACAACUUAAACUAAGUGUAAUGCAUGGCAAUUGAUCACAAGGUUCUACGGCCCUUAAUUUUUACAUGUAUGUAAAUGUAUGUGUGCAUUUGUAUAUACAUACAUAAAUACGUAUAUCUAACGAAAAAUGUUGGAACUAUAUAUAUAUUAACAAUUUUAUGUAUAUAUAUAUAUGUAGAGUUGAGCUGGAAUACUAUCGGCAGCAAACGAGCUCUGUUGUCAACCAUUUAUUUUUGAUGAUGGAGCCUCCAAAUCGGUGAUCGGCGCUGUUGAAUAUGAUCUAUAUCACAUGAAGUAUCUAGAAAUCAAAUUUCAUACUUUUUCGAUAUUGUUUUCUUGUCUAUCAAAUAGACGUAAAAAUAAACGACUGAAAAUAAAUAUCCUCUAAAAAGUGAUUAUAGGAAUUUUGUAAUCAAGAUCGAAAGUAUAGAUCUUGUUCUAAAUAGUUUAAAGAAUUUUCUGACCAAAAUUUAAUUGAUUUGGAUAGCUUUAUAUCGUUAAAUGAGAAAACGCUUCACAUCUAUCAUUAAAAUUACAAAAUUUGAAACUCUUUAAUCAUUAGGUCAAUGAUGUCGAAAAGAUUUAAAAUUUGGUUUCUAGAUACUUCAAGUGGUAUAGAUCAUGUUCAACGAUGCCGAUCGUCGAUUUGAAGGCUCCAUCAUCGAAAAUAAAUAAAUGGCAACAAAAUCCGUUUGCUACCGAUAGUAUUUCAGCUUAACUCUAUACAUGUAAGCUUAGAUAUAAGUACCAAUCAAGGACCACAUAUUUUCUUACUUUUCUUUACUCCUAAAAGUUUAUAUAUAGUCCGCAUUAGAAUUGCAUGUGAUAUGAAGUCGAUAUCAAAGCAAAUCACGCUUCCACCGGUGCAAAAGUACGUGUACAUGUAGUGCGUUGUUAGCAUAUACUAAACCAUUAUGACUUGUCCUUUCGCAUUAAUUAGAUUUUACCCGGGAGGUUGUACGUCGUUUUCAAGCGGAUGCUUCUGCAUGAAGCUAAUUAAAUUUAGAGUUAAUUACACCAAUGAUCCUAACCGUUACACUGUUUUUCAAUUGGGUUCCUAAUCUUUUUUUUUUGCAAUCAAAUUCCUAAUCUUUUGAUUUCCUUUUAAUUAAGUCUCAACCGUUAGACAGCUGUUAAAAUUGACGAAAAAUGCCACGUCAGUACCCCGUCAGUGCCACGGUGGCGCAGUGUCAGCGGCACGAUUGCGCUGUGUCAGCGGAUUACAAAAAAAAAAAAAAUUAGGAACCAAAUUAAAAAAUGGUGCAAAGGUUGAGGACCAAUGGUGUAAUAAACCCAUUAUAUUUAUAAAUUCAAAAAAAAUUUAAUUUAAGAUUUAUAUUUUAAAUUUAAAUUUUGAUUUUGAAUUCAAAUUUAAAUUCGAAUUCAAAUUUCAAUUUUAUAUUUAAUUUNAUUAAAAUUAAAAUUUAAUUUAUAUUCAAUUAAAAAUUUAAAUUUAAAAAUUGAAUUUCAAUUCAAAAUUUUAAUUCAGCUUUAAAUUCAAAUUCAAAAUUCUAAUUUCUCGUUAGUUUAAAAUUUUAAUUUUAAUAUUAUUUUGAAUUUAAAUUUAAAAUUUUGAAUUUUUUUAUGUACUAAAAUAAAAAAUGUGCAAAGUUUAGGGACCUAAAUUGACAUGCAAAAGAUUGUCACAUAGACGCUGACGUGGCAAUUCCGUUAAUUUUAACUAUUUUUUUAACGGUUGGGACCUAAUUGUAAUAAAAAUAAGAGGUUAGGGACUCAAUUGCAAAAAAAAAAAGGUUGAAAACUCAAGUGAAAAUUAGUGAAAAGGUUAGGGACUACUAGUGUAAUUAACCCUUAAAUUUAAACAACUACAGUAAAAUAUAUUUUAAACGACGUUUUUUAAAUAACGUUUUAUUCUAACAUUUUUAAUACAUGACAUUUGCCGAUAUUAUAAUUAAACGACGCUAAUAUAUAUAUUUUUAUUAAAUACUGAUAUAAAUUUUUCGACGCUAUAUUAAAACGUUGGUAUAUUUAUUCCGACAUAUUUACUUAAUAAUUCUUUGCUCGACUUUUUACAAAUAUUGGGAUUAUUCUGAACGGCGUUUUAAAGCAUCACUAAUUAUUAUUUAAAGUAUCGUACUAUCACCAAUUUCAUGUUUAUAAUAAUAAUCUCUUAUUUAAGUACUCCAAUUAAUCAAAGCCCUUCAUUUGUUAUUAUGGUUCAUUAAAUGCUUAGACACAAACAGGUGAGAAUUAAUUGAAUAUUCAUCAUAUAUGCAUAACAAUGAUUGAGAGAAACAGUGAAGCAACUUUUUGAUUAAUUUUAAUUUUAUGUACAUGCAAAAUCCUUAAAUGGAAAAAAGAAAUUGAAUUAUGUACAACAAUAUUAAAUGUGAACUUUGACUUAUUUUUAUUUAUGAAGAAAAUAUGUUAAACGAAUUGUGUAAAAUUAAGAUACGGACAAAAUUAAUUGUUCCAAAAUUUAGUCAAUAAUUAACGGUCUAGUAUUAAUAAAAUAUUGACAAUUAAAGCCUCGUUUCGCACCGUGGCCUUUUUGUUUCUCUAUCAAAAAUAAUUUUAACAAUAAAAGAAAAAUUCUUAUAAUUGAAUAUUAAAUUAUGUAUAAUUACUGUUUAAAAAUUAAAAAAAAAAGAUUUGGACGUUUUUUUAUUCAUUAGUACAAGUUCUAUAUGUUUAACUCCUCUACUCUAAAAAGCAUUAAUUAUCUAUAUAUUGAUAAACAAAAAAUCUUUAUCUUAACAGAAAAUGUAAAAAUAUGCUUAGGUUUUGAUCAAUUAUUAUAAAAUUAGCACGGAAUCAUAAAUUUAUUUAGAUGGGGAUUACUAUAAAAUUAUCAGUAAAGUUAAUAAAAUACUAAAUUAAUUUGAUUAAGUAGAAAAGGAUUUAAAAAGUUAAAACAAUCUCUAAAAAAAAAAAGAUUAUUAAUGAAGUAGUUGAGAGUGUCAUUCCACUGUGGUUUAGUGUAGGGAUGUCAACGGGUUGGGUUUGGGUCGGGUUUUGAAAAACCCGAACCCGAACCCGAAAACCAAAUUAAAACCCGUACCCGGAUCCGAACCCGGCGGGUUUUAAAAAUCUAUACCCAUAUCCGUACCCGACCAAAAACCCAAAACCCGAACCCGGACCCGGAUCCGGCCAGUUUUAAAAAUCCAUACCGUUAAAUGAAGAUCUAAGAGAUAAAAAUUAUUAAAUAUUUUAUAUAUUAUAUAAAUAAAUAAAAAUAAAGUAUGUAUAUAUAUAAUUUAUUCGGGUUUGGGUUCGGGUUCAGGUCGGAUUCGGGUUCGGGUUCGGGUCGGAUAAAUACAAAAUCCAUACCCGUAUUCAUAUCCGUCGGGUUUUUAUUUUCUAUACCCAUAACCAAAUCCAUACACGUUUAGCUCGGAUAAACUCGCCCCGUUCGGAUUCGGGUUAGGAUAAUAUUUCAGGUAUCCAUACCCAUUGACAUCCCUAAUUUAGUGUUAAGAGGUCACCCUAUAUACAUAUAUCAUUCACCUCAAUAUUUUUUGAGCAAUAUUGCUACCUCACUAUUAUUUUUCACCUCUUAAUUCACCUCAAUAUUAUAUUUCAUAUUAUCUAGUGAAAAAUGUAUGGAGGCCUCCUCGACAAUAUACGCAUUUUGAAAUAGACCCUCAACUUUUAUUUUUUACAUUUAUUAUUGUAUUCAGAUUUCUUUAACUUCAAUAUUUUUUUGAGGGGCAAUUUCUUAUAUACUCCUGAAAAGUUUUCGACUUUUUGAUUUAUCUAUCUUAGAAGGCGAAUAUUGAAAAUACUCUUUUUACGUUCUAAUAUAUUUUAAAUAUACUCCUAGAAUUAAUUAAAUUCUGUUAAUAAACGGUUAGCAAUAACUGCAUAUUAUAUGUAUGAAAUUACUAUUUUGCCCUUUCAAAUAUACUUUUCUAUCAUCACCGAUUUUUUCUAUUUGUUCUUAAGUUAGGGGCACAAAAAGUAUUUUGAUUUUUGAUUUUUUCAAAUAUAUUUUUCUACCAUCACCAUCAUUUGUUAUUUGCCCUUAAGUAAAAAACAGAACAGACAUUUUGAUCUUUUCUUUAGCUCUAAUAGAUAAUUAACUCACGUUUAACCCAAUUUAAUUUAACGGGUGGUAAUUAUAGAGGUAUUUUGGAAUAACGGAGGAACAUAUGAGGGGUAUAUUAGAAAGAAAAAAAAAGAUAAAUGAGAUAUUUGAGGGAUAUAUAGACAAUUAUUUUUUUUUUUUUGUUAUUUCACUUUUUAUAGUUAACUAAGUUUUAAGUUUUUAGUAAAUUCCAUAGCUUAUUUAGCCACAACCCCCAUCUACACAGCAUCAAUAUAGAGCACAUGUCAAGUAUGAACAAAUAAAAAUCCAAAGAUUUUCAAUACCUUAUUUUUUCCAUCCUAAUUAAGGCUAUUACAAAGUAUGUGGUUACAAUGUACAACCAAAUUUUUUAAUACAAGUUAAUUUUAAUUUCUCUUUUCACAAUAUACCAAGUAGAGAUGUCAACGGGUUGGAUUCGGGUGGAUUUUUAAAAAUCCGAAUCCAAAACCCGACUCCAAACUCGAGACCCGAACCCGAAUCCGAACCCGACUGAUUUUAAAAAUCCAUAUCCAAACCCGAACCCGACCAAAAAUCCGAAACCCAAACCCGAACCCGAAAAUUUGAACCCGAAACAAUUAUUUCUUUUUUCAAUAUUUCAAAAUAUAUUAUAUUAAAUCUAAAUUUUUAAAAUAUAAAUUCAAAUAUAACAUCAAAUAUAUAUAUAUAUAUUAUAUAUAAUACAAAAUAAAUUCGGGUUCAAGUCGGAUUCGGGUCAGGUUCGGGUUCAGGUCAGGUACAAUCAAAAUCUAUAUCCGAAUCCAUAUCCGUCGGGUUUCUAUUUUUGAUAUCCAUAUCUAAAUUCAUAUUCAUAUCUAUCGGAUAUAUUCAUUUCAUUCGGGUUUGAAUUCGGAUAAAAUUUCGGAUAUCCAUACCCAUUGAUAUCCCUAAUGCCAAUUAUAUUUAUUGUCCAAAAUACCAAAAUACAAAAGGUAUGACCGUUCUAGGACGAACUAUCUACACAUGUCCUCGCCCCGCGCCCAGCUCCUCCCCGACCAAUGCACCUGAAAAAUAGGUUGUCAGAAACUUUUUUUCUUUUUCUUUUUUUUAGAAAUAGGUAGGACGCUACUCGCUUCGUUUUAUUUUAUUUAAAAAUAAACUUAGCUGGAAAUGUGAAUCAACUAGGAUUCAAACUUGGGAUCUCGGAUAUCAACCGCCAAGCCCUUUACCAUUUGUUCUAGGGACGGUCGGUGGGUUGUGAGAAACUUAUACAAGUUUUUCGGUGAAUACAACUAGCCAUAAAAGGCGAGCUGCAUCCACUGGCCCAUGAGAUAUUUCUGAUUCCGAUUCAGGUAAUGAACCAAACAGAAUUAGGUAAUAAGUCAUUCCGAUUCCGAUUCCAGCUUAUUUUGAUUCCGAUUCCGAUUCCGAUUCUGACUCUGACUUCGAACCAAACACGCCCAUAACGGGAACUAAGCAAUAAAUAUCAUGAUAUUUUAUCGAGUAAGAGUAAAUGGAAUUAUUAUGCACCAAUGCCAAAAAUUGUCGACUACUCUACUAUACCCAAUUUGCCGUCUGGCCGAUUACAAGGACCCGGCCUAAGCUUGCUUGUGAAGAAGCAUGCACUGUCAGGAUUAGCUCAGUCUAUAAAAUUUAGUAAUUCUGAUAGAAAAAUAUAAUUUUUUUCAAAAUUAUCUUUGUGGUCAUGUGAAUAUUAGUUUUUACUAAAAUAUCAGUAAAUAUAAUUUGCACUUGUAAAUUAAAUUUUGUUGGUGAACAAUUAGAAACAAUCGUUAUCUUUAUAAAAUUACUAUUUUAUCCUUUCAAAUACGCUUUUUUACCGUUACCAACUUUUUCUUAUUUGCCCGUAAGUUAGAGGCUAAAGAAAUAUUUUGACUUCUUUCCUUUUUAAAUAUACCUAUCUAUCAUUACCAACUUUUCUUAUUCUUAUUUAUCCUUAAGUCGGAGAUAAAAUAAGUAUUUUGAUUCUUUUUCUAAAAAAAAUCAGGUAGAAAUUUAAUAUGGAUUUAAUCCGAGAUAACUUAAAGGGUAUUAACAGAGGAGUAUUUUUGAAUAACGGAGAAAUAUACGAGAAAUAUAUUUUAAACAAAAAAAAAAGUAAAGAUAAAUUAGAAAUUUUAGAAAUUUUGAGAGGUAUAUAAAUAACUAUUCCUAAAAUUUGUGAUACUAGCAACUGUAUGUGACCAAAUAACUGCCUUACAAAAUAGAAUUAAGGGCUUUUUCUGCAUUUAGUCCCCUCUGAAAAAAAAUUUACAAAUAGCCCCAUAAAAUUUAUAAUUAUAAAAGUGGCUCUAUCCCUGCGACGCAAGCGCCGCGUCAGCGACUGUGGAUGGUUAAGUUGAACACGAUGAAUUUUAAUACAAUGAAAUAUUUACCAUGUUUGGACGGUUGGAUAGUACCCAAGUCCCGCACUGCAGAAAAACUCAAACAGUUCUGCAGUGCAGUUUUGCUUAAACACGAUGAAUCAUUCACCGCGUCUAAACACAGUGAAUAGUUUACCGUAUUCAAUUUAUGCCACUACUCCAGCCAGCUGCUGACGUGGCGCUUGCAUGACCGGAAUAGAAGCAGUUUUGCAAUUUAAAUUUUGCGAAGCUAUUUAUGAAAAAAAAAAAUGAGGAGGCUAAAUGCAAAAAAAAUCUUAGAAUUAGAGAAAGUCUACUGUACGGUACAUACAAUACAUUAUCAAUAAUAAGCCAAUUAUAUCUUUCUUCUUUUAAAAAAGUAUAACAAAAGUAUUUUUUAUAAUCAUAAUGUGACAAAGAACCUAAAAAAAAAAAAAAGAAUUUUUUUCUAGAAUCAAUAAGAGUUGAGCUGGAAUACUAUCGGUAGCAAACGGACUUCGUUGCCACCCAUUUGUUUUCAAUGAUGGAGCCUCCAAAUCAACGAUCGGUACUGUUAAAAAUGAUCUAUACCACUUGAAGUAUCUAGAAAUCAAAUUUCAUGCUUUUUUGAUAUUAUUCUCUUAUUCAUCAAGUGGGCGUAAAAAUGAACGGCUGAAAAUGAAUAUCCUUUAAAAAGUGAUGAUAGGAAUUUUAUAAUCAAGAUCGAGAGUAUAGAUCUUGUUCUAAAUAGUUUAAAGAAUUUUCUAACAAAAAUUCAAUUGAUUUGAAUAGCUUUACACCGUUAAACGAAAAAACGUCUCAUAUCGACUAUUAAAAUUACAAAAUUUGAAACCCUUUGAUCAUUAGGUCAAUGAUGUUGAAAAGAUUUGAAAUUUGAUUUCUAGAUACUUCAAGUGAUAUAAAUUAUGAUCAACAAUACCGAUCGUCGAUUUGAAGGUUCCAUCAUCGAAAAUAAAUGGAUGGCAACGGAGCCCGUUUGCUACCGAUAGCAUUCCAGCUCAACUCAAAUCAAUAAUGGAAAAGCACUUCCCAAAAGAGAAAAAGAGAAAGAAAGGAAAAGCAAUCGCACUACCAACUCCACCUUGCGCAUACACGCUACCCAACUCCACACGGACCACAUCAAAAGCGUCGUCGCUCACGCUAGCUGCCGACACUUCACUUUCCCACCACCGACACAAUGGGGAAGAGCGCCCGGGCGGCGGCGGCGGUGGCGGCGGCGGCUGCGGCGCCAUCUCCGCCGCCGCCGCCGCCGCAGUCGCCGCAGCCGCUGCCAUCUCAGGCGGAGCCGGCGCCGGAGGCGGAGGCGGAGGCGGAGGCGGAGGUGAACCCGCGGACGGGGUCGCCGUUCUCGAGGAGGUUCAAGAAGCUUCUGGAGAGGAGGAAGAAGCUCGCUUUGUGGGCCCAAAGGGAGAAGGUUCGAGACGCGCUCGCGAAGCACGCCGCCGUGGUGGUGGGGGCGGCGCCGGGCUCCGGCAAGUCCACUCAGGUCGUCCUCGUCGUCGUCAUCUCCUCCUCCUCUUCUUCUCCUCCGUAUAAAUCUCAUGUUAUGAAGCGAUCGGAGCACUAUCUGUGCAUAGUUUGAUGUUUUAUGAUAUCAUCCUAGAUACGUUGUGCUUGAUUUUGAUGUGUAGGAGUGUUAUUUGGUUACUUAAUUUGAGGCUUACCCAUGUUGUUGAAUUUGUUCUUUUAGCUGUAAUUUAAGCAAAAUCUUAAUGCUAAUUCAACUAUAAACUGUAAUGCUGUGAUCCUCGUUUUGAUCUGUAGGGGCAUUAUCUGGUUGAUUUGAGACUCACCCGUGAUUGUUAAAUUUGUUCUUUCAGCUGUAAUUUAAGCAAAAUCUUAAUGUUAAUUCAAUUAUAAACUAUAAUGCCGUGAUCCUCGUUUUGAUCUGUAGGGGUGUUAUAUGGUUGAUUCGAGACUUACCCAUGCUGUUAAAUAUGUUCUUUUAGCUGUAAUUUAAGAGAAAAAUCUUAAUGUUAAUUCAAUUAUAAACUGUAAUGCUGCGAAUCUGAACAUACCCUAAAAUAAUUGCCGGUAUCUGGAUGAACCAAACUCUUGUGAAGUGAUUGCUGCUCUACACGUAGUUUGAUGUUUCAUAGUCUCUUCUUAUAGAGUUAGAUUUCACUAAAAGAUAUUGAGAUGUGAGCUUUGUUUUGAUAUGUAGUUGUGUUAUUUAGUUGGUUUGAGACCUACCCUUGUUGUCACUUAAUGUUGCUUUAGCUGAGAUUUGGUAAAAUUUGAUCUACCCAACUCUCAACUCCCAAUCAUUUAACAUUAAUUUGGCUAUAAAUUUGCGAUAUUGCAAGUUUGGGCAUACCCAUUUCGGUUUAGUCCUGUAAUUCAGUAGAAGUAGGUCUGACUUGGCAAUAUUAUAAUCUCUUCCAGUCACAUAUCUCUUAAUCUUGUGCUGUGAGCUUGAUUUUGAAGUGUAGUUUUGUUAUUUAGUUGGUUUGAUUCUUUCCCAUAUGUCCAAAUAUGUUCUUUAAGUAAAAUGGUGAAACCCUAAGCUAAUUGGCUUGUAUCUGGCUCUACUCACCUCCUAAGUUUUGGAGUUUUCAAACUUGAAUGCGGUUUAAAGGGUUUUUUAGGGCAAUAGCCCUCUUCUAAAAUUUUAUUCUAAAAAUAGACCCGUUAAAUUUUUAUUUAUAAAUAUAGUCCUAUAAAAGCGGUAAAUGAUUCACCGCUUUUAAAAGCGGUGAACCAUUCACCGCUUUCUUUCUUUUUUUUUACUUAUUUUUAUAUUUCUACGAUGGUAAAAGCGGUGAAUAGUUCACCGCUUUUAUUCUUUUUCUACUUCUAAAGAAGAGUUAUGAAUGCGGUGAAUCAUUCACCGCAUUUAGAAGUCUAUUUUUACAAUUAUUUUUUUAAAAAAAUUAUUUUUACAAUUAUAAAAAUUGAUAGGAUUAUUUAUAAAAAAAAUUCGGUUUUAAAUCUUUAAUCUUGCAAGUUUGAAGACACCCAUUUGAUUGAACCUGUAAUUUUGGUAGAGUAAGGUGCUAACUAAAUAUACUUUUGUGCUAACCAAUUUGGCCAUUCUUAUAUGUGUAAACUGUAAAUAACUGAAGAAGCUUCUAGUUCUUUUGCAUUAAUUAUACUGGUAUGCUGUAACUUGGGUAUUGAAAGAAAAUUCCAUUUUUAUGAAACAGAUUCCGCAAUUUGUGAUUGAGGCUGGUUAUCCGAGGACUGGGAAGCAGAUUGCCUGCACCCAACCCCGAAGGCUUGUCGCCACAGCGGUUGCUCGUCGAGUAGCACAAGAGAUGGAUGUGAGUUUGGGAGAGGAGGUCGGUUAUUCCGUACUGUUCGAUGAAUGUUGCAGCACAAAAACCAUUCUGAAGUAUGUUUAUGGACAAUGACACCAAACUUCAAUAUUCUAGGGCCCUCGUUUGGUACAGCUUCUAUUUUUCCUUUUUUUAAACUCAAAUUCUAUAUGGUUGGGUGAAAUGGAGGACAGAUUUUCUCCGACCUCGUUAUUGUUCAUCAUCUUGUGAUGCGCCCCAGGUCGAUAUUAAUCCUUGUUUGUUUUUAAGGAAAACAAAUUAAACAGCAACAAAGAAGUGAAAAUAGUUGCCGAACAAAAUUCUUCGGUGUAUACAUUGUAAACAAGUGUCUCACUCAAUUACAAUGAGUUUGAGUUUUUUUUUUUUUUAAAAGAAGUCAGUACCUAACCCAAUCACACUUUUCUGUUGUGUUUAGUUUGUAAUUUUAAUGUCGUAACAUUGUCUUUCCAGUCAUAUGUUAGGAAUUGUGCUAAAUGUCGUAAAAUUUAUUGGAGCACUUCAGCAAUCACGUGGCUUAUAAGAUACUGCACACUGGGAUUUAAUUGCUUGAUGUUGUUGAUCUACUUAUAUACAGGGAUUUAAUGAGCAAAACAAUUUUCAUGUGCUUGGGAUUUAACUGCAAGAUGUACCAUCCAACCACCAUGACAAUUGUAUGUUUCCAUGUUAUUUCCUUUUAUAGGUACUUAACUGAUGGUGUGCUUCUAAGAGAAAUAUUAUCCGAUCGAUUUCUAGAAAAAUACGAGGUCAUAAUUCUCGAUGAGGUGCACUUGCGAACCCUAGCAACUGAUAUUCUCCUUGGCUACUUGAAAAAUCUCUUAUCCUCGAAUGCUCGGCCCGACCUUAAACUUGUCGUGAUGAGCUCUCAGUAUGAGGCGACAAAGUUCAAAGAAUACCUCAAAAGCGGACGAAUUGUGCAACCGAGUCCCACUCUUCAUCCUAUAGAGAUCAUGCAUGAACAACAACCUGUUGAGGACUACGUCAAGAAGGCAAUUGAGAUAGUUGAGCGAGUACUCACGACCGAACCAAAUGGUGACAUACUGGUUUUCGUAACGGGGUCAGAAGAGAUCGACUCUUUCUGCUGGAAUCUUAAAAAGGUGGUCGCAGAUUUGGGAGAUAAAAUCGGGGCAGUUAAUGUUCUUCCGCUUCACUCUACGGUGUCUGCUGAUCAACAAAAGAAGGUUUUCAAGGCCGCACCCCCUUCAAAGAGGAAGGGCGGGCCCGUUGGUAGGAAGGUGGUUGUGUCAACCGACAUUGGAGAAUCAUCACUAGCAAUAGAAGGAAUUGUUUACGUGAUCGACUGCGGCUACACAAAGCAGAAGGUUUACAACGCCCAACUUAAUGUAGAAUCCUUGUUGAUUUUGCCCAUAUCGAGAGCUAACGCACAACGUAGGUCGGCAUUGGCUAGGAGAACGGCUUCUGGGAAGUGCUUUAGGCUAUACUCGAAACAGCGCUUUUUAGCUGCACAGGCUGAGGUGUCGCCUGAGAUUUUUAGGGCGAAUCUCGCGAGCAUUGUUCUAUUGAUGAAGAAGAUAGGGAUUGAGGAUUUUGCCAAUCUCGAUCUGAUGGAUCCUCCUCAUGCUGAAAUGGUCGAACGAGCUUUUGAAACUUUGAAAUGCUUGGGCGCUUUGGAUGGAGAGGGAACUUUGACUGACUUAGGGGAGCUUAUAAGCCACUUUCCUUUGGAUCCACAGAUGUCUAGAAUGAUUGUUACAAGUCCAAUGUUUCGAUGUUCAAAUGAGAUUCUUUCAAUUGCUGCAAUGUUAUCAGGUAUGUAUUCUAUAAGUAAGACUCUUUUUCCUACAUAACUACCCUAUUUUGUAUGCCUUACCCAGACAACUGGAAAAAAGGAAAUUUUGUGACUUCCUGUCUGGUUUAAGGCUUAGGGCUACUGCAGAAGUACUUGUUAAGCAGAGCGGCUUAAAGAAGCGCUAACAGUUCUUUCAUUAUAAUAUCCUCAACAGCUUCUCAUUUAGUAAAAGUAGAAGAUUCAAUUUAGAGCUUUUAUUUGGGCAUAAUAGCUCAUAUAUGCUCUUCGCAGGUUUACCUCAGGAAAGGCUUCAGACUUUUCGUUAGCCACCUAGUUUAUCAAAUCUUCUGCUUUCUAGAAUAGAAAAGUUCUUCAAAAAACCAGGCCAGAAAAACACUAAGGCUUCAAAUUUGAAUAUAUGAAUAUGGUUUGAUUGAAGUAAAAUGCGAAUAAGUGGAAUUCAAUUCUUAUUGAUAUUUAAGUUCUCUGAGUUUCAGCUCCCUCCACCAACCCAUUUGAACUCUUCUCUUUUACCAAAAUUUUUCUUUUCCAGUACCUUAUUGCUUUUUAAGGCCUCUUGAGAACCAGCAAACCGCUGAUGAGGCGAAACGGAACUUCAAUCACAUCAACGGCGAUCACCUCACUCUAUUGAACGUCUACCAUGCAUACAAGCACUUGAGUAAGUUCCAUCUCUCUGUAAUUUACUUUAAUUGUCUCGUCCCAACUUCUCUCCAUUUAUUAAAAUCAGCAAUUUUUCAGAUGGUGAUGCCACCUGGUGCGAGAAGAAUUACAUCAACAAGGCAGCUUUAGUGUCUGCUGAUAGUGUGAGGAGAGAGCUUGCCAAGAUUAUGAGUAAGCUUAAGUUAGAGCUUUGCUCAACCGAGUUCAGCAGUGGCGAGUACUAUGACAACAUAAGAAAGGGCAUUUUAUCUGGUUAUUUCAUGAAGGCUGCACAACGCGAGCCCACAGGACAGUACGCGAUUGUGAAAGAUCAUCAUGUGGGUAUCUUCUUUUCUUCUUUCUUAGGACUUGUUUUGGCCUGCUUAGAGCUUCUCAUACAGUUGAUUGUGUAGAGCUGUUUAAAGAAGCUGCAAACGUACUUUUCAUAAAAUGUCCUUCCUAAAAACUUAUUUGAACUUCCCACUAUAGCAGAAGCUCUUGAUUUCUCAUUCACCAAACACCUGAUUUCUGCCUUCUAGAUUAGAGAAGCUGCUUUACAAGCUUGGGCAAUCGGGCACUUAACACGUCUAUAGUUUAUUUACUGUUAUUGUCCUUGUUAUGUAGGUUGUCGAUCUUCAUCCUUCGUGUGGCCUUGUGUCGAGGCCGCAAUGGGUGGUAUUCAAUGACUUUGUUUUGGCCAGCUGCAAUUUCAUUCGAACCGUUACUGAAGUGCGCAUGGACUGGUAAGAGUCACUCAGGUGUUUACAUAUAAAAUAUGAAAGAAAAGACAUAAACCAUACAUGUGUUGCUAGACUCAUGCAGUUUUUGUAAGCAAUCGCGAAUAUAUCUUGUUGCCCCAAAACUAUGAUGAGCAUUUUGAAGUAAAUUCAAUUUAUAAUCACAAUUCACAGCAUACAAAACAUGGAGUCUUAACAAAAAGAAAUUUAUGAGAUAUUGUCCAAAUUGUGAUUGCUUCUUAUUGCUGAUUCUCUUUGCUCUAACAGUGUUAAACUGUGGAAAUUUUGUUUUGCGUUGUAAAUUAAUUUGCUCGAAAUUUUCUUUUUUCUUGGACAGGUUAAUCGAGGUUGCUCCGCAUUAUUAUAAAAUAGCUACCAUAUGAGAGGAACUGCCGACCGGACCAUUGUUUUUCCCCCUUCCAUUGGAUGUGCUUAGUGUUUUGAAUGAUCAUAGCUGCAUCAACGGCCCAUUUGGACGUCGAAAUGAAUCAGGAUCCUUUUGCAUUGGUGAUUAUUUGCUCGACCACUCGCUCAUAAAUAUACGCCACAAUAAGAGACAUGCCGAACAAACUAUCAUGAAAGUGAAAUAGCGUCCGGAUAUAUCCACCAUACAUAUAUUACUGCUGCUUCCACUAGUUGCAGUAGAGUCGAUUUUCGGAUUAUCCGACUUUUCGGUAAUAUUCAGCGUAGUUUAGCAUAGUUUCUUUGUGUUGUUGUUGUUGUUGUUGUUGUUGUUGUUGUUGUUGUUGUGAUUACUUCUUUUGAGAAAUGUAUAGAAUAUAUCUACUAUGGUAACUCUCUCAAGGUGAGAAUUUCACAUCAAAUAUGUGUGAUGUAAUCAGGAGCCACUUACUUGGAUUAAUACUAUAUGUUUUUCCUUUCUAUUCUUAAUAAUUGUGUUUAUUUUUUGUUCUUCUAUUUUUUGUCAUAUUAGAUUGUGCCAGAGCCAUUUUUUAUUGGUACAAUUCUUAGACACAUGAAUUUAAUCAGUUUGAAAUUCCAAUUUAUUUUGAUCAACAAUAGUUAAAAAAGAAAAAAAAAACCUGAAAAAUACCAAAAAUUGAGAAAAUCAAAGAACAACUAUAUAUAACAGUAACAUACUAAACCAGUAAUGUAAAAUAUCACUAAAAGUUGAGAAAACAUAUUAUCAGAUAAUUGAAACAUUUUACUAAACAUUUAAUUUGUGUAACAAAGUGUAAAGCUAAUAAAAUCCAUCAAAGUACUACACGUAGAAAACAUAAAUAUGUUAUAAGCCAAUAUAGUAUACUUGUGCAAAGUGUAAAUUGCAUCAACAGUCCCUAAACUUUUGGCCAACUUUCAUUUUGGCCCUCGUGCUUUUGAGUGCGGCAUUUGAAACCCUAAACUCUCGAAAACCAUUUCGCUCUAGUCCCUAUCCUUCGUCUUCGUCUUCGUCUCCGAUCUCAGACAAUAUUGUUUCUCGAAAGGACUAAACCGAAAGAAGUUUGAAAGUUCGGCGUCUUAAAUGUCGAACUUAAAAAGCUCGAGGGCUAAAUUUAAAACUUGAGUAGGAGUUCAGGGAGUAGCAGUUCUACUAUACUGAAGAAUCUGCAAACAUUCAUAACAGCAUCUUUGGAAGGUUAAGCAACACCAAAGAAAGGGCGUAGAGUGUAACGGAGACGAUCGCUGCUACGACGAUGUUAUACAUCAAGCGCUUGUCGUCUCCGCUCGGUAUGAAAACCAUCUUGAGUUUGUUUGUCAAUCCAAAGACUCUAUGAGCAACCUGCACAUCAUUACAUCAAAGAAACAAAGUGAUAAACUGACACCGAAACUGGGCUAAAAACUGCAGAAACCACACUUCGUAUAUCGCGACUUUCACUUUGUUCCUAAAAGUUUUGAACCGAAGAGACAAUGCGAACCGUGAUAUAUAUGGCAGUGGUGAGCAAGAAGUUGAGCAUUGGAUAGUUGGGGAUGAGAGACAGAUCCUUUCGCGGUUGUUUGUCCGGCCCGCCUGUUCUGUAAGCACACGAGAAAUAAUAACAAAUUAUCCCAAAAAGAUCAAGCAAAAAGAACAUCACCAAUGAUGUAGAAACAACGCUAAAGAACGCUUUGUCUUGUCGUUUGGAAUAGCUUCUCUACUUACAAAAAAAUGGAGAGUUUAGCAAUCCAAAAGUCGAAAGCAUUAAUCGUAUCGCUGGAACAAGCAUUAAUUAUAGGUUCCAAAAGUGAAAGCUCCAAAAGUCAAGGUUUUGUUUAUGCUAUAACAUGGAGCCAUUGCAGAUAAUUCAGCGAAAAGUCGGUCGACAGUGCUUUGUCGAACAGCUUUACGCAAACAGCACUUUUACAAAAAGCUAGGAUCAAGCUAACGAAGAACUAGAAACUUAUUUAGAAACCUCAUCCAGAUGUGGUACUGCGAUAUGUAAGUCUCCAGCGUAAUCUUUCCAAGCCACCUAACAGUUUCUCAUCGAAGAUCAGUAAAACAACAAAAAUUGUCAAAAUAUAAGUGAGCACUUCAACAUAGUGUAUGUAUUGGGAGGUAAAAGGAGGGAUCGAGAGGCGCUCACCCAAAGAGCGCGAGAGUAUAGUUUCGGAAUCGCUGAGUUAUGUUCCUCAGAACAAUGUACACACUGAUUUUCAACGAAUUAGCAAACAAAACAUAUAAAUUUAUCAGUAUCAGACAUGGACCAGAGCUAUAAAGCAUCAUUGUGUUGUUGAGGUUAAAGCGUACGUGAUCGGAAUCCAUGACGUAUAGGGGUGAUAUACGUUGUACGUAUGCUUUUCGAGCUUGAACAGAUACUCGUACCACACGUAACCAACCUGAAGAAACAAAUUGCGGAUUCGUCGAUGAAAAUUUGAAGUGUUAUCAAGAAGAAAUAACAGUUAGGAUUAGUACCAGUAGGCAAAUUGUGGCAAUGGAUGAUUUGAUCAGUAUUUGAAGCGAAACUCUGGUUUUUUCCAGUUUCUCCAUCCACCUCUCGACCUUAUAUCAGCAAACAAUCAGAAAUGAAUUAGUCGAGUUCGUUGUUUUCAGUUUGAGAUAUGUUCCUGAAAUGGAAUUCGAGAUUCAUUACAAUUUACUGCUCGAGUACGAAUCAGCCAUUUACAUAAACAGACGAUGCGUUCAGAACAGUUAAAUCUGACAAAAUCCCCAGAAUAACUUAAAAUCUUUUAAAAAUUCGAAUCGAAUUUGCAAAUUGAUAAAAAGAGCUUCUAAACAUUAAUGAAAAGCAUUUUGAAAACUCACCGUCGGAUGAUAAUAGGCAUAAAUCAUUCCCACGAUCCAUAUAUACCGAUCGAGCCCCGACCGGAAAUGCCAUUCAUGCAUGGGAGGAUAUGGUUCGCUUACGUCCGGAUCAUUAUAAGCUGCAUUUGUUUGACAAUAAAUCAAACAAAAAAGUAAAGAAACCAUGGAAAAAACUGACAAAAAGAAAGAAAAGUUUGUAAGAACUGACCUAGAAGGAAAGCGAAUGGGCUCCACACGAAGUCGAAGACACUAGGGACUUCCCACACAAUAACAAUGACCGCAAAGCAAGCAACAAUUUUAACCGCAAUGACCGAGCCAUGUUUAUUGUACUUGUUAAAGAGGCCAAGCGCGCAAUACACCAAUAGAGUGAAGAAGGUGUGCAUUGGGCAGAUGUAGUACAACAUGUAAUGGUUGUCGAGAGCAAUGCAGCAAAACGCGACAAAGAAAUUGAGCCUCCACAUCAUCUGUUCGAACACAAAGGAACCGCCGUUCGCAGAGGCAAUUUCAAAAGGCCAAAAUGCAGAAAAGAGCUGGGCACCAGGCGAGGGUAUAUACGUGUAGAUAGUAUUUAAACUGAGCUCUAGAUUUUGUAAUAGAAUAGUAGAAGGUUUGGUUUAUACUGCUAGUGUUUCUAACUCGUCAUUUGAUGUUAGAAUUGUAGAAAAUUUAUAAUAUUAUCCUGAAAUAUCAUGUACUCUAUUGACAGGUGCUCUAUAUCGACGCCGUACAGGCAAUUUCAAAGGUCUCAGCAGUUUGAGUUCGAGUUCGACGGCAAAGUGAAAAUUGUGGUGUUAUGAAGAGGUGUUUUGAUUUCGACAUGAAAUGGUUGAAAUUACCUGAGCGAACCGCGCAAAGCUGAAGUCUUUGCGCACGUAGUAGUAGGAGAAGUUCCCAAAUCCAGUCAUCCACACAUAUGCGGCGAUGAAAACUCGAAUCGCGUUGUAAAUUUCUUUCGCGGCAAAAUAGUGGUACAUCACAAAAAGUACCUAUGCAUUGAAAGUAAAAAAAAAUGAACAUUUUAGAUGUAGUCGCCGUCAGCUCAAAUGUUUACAAAAGUUUAGCUCUUCAUUUUCAGAUUUACAUAUGAAUGGUUAAAGAAUCAGUGAAUAUCUUUGAAUUUGUGAAAAACUUUUAACUAAAAGUUGGUCUCCUUUGUGCAAUUGUACCCCAUUGUUUGCUUUAAAAGUUAGUAGAUCGCCGAGAUCGACAUAUAUAUCUUCGAUGUAAUGUACCUAAUUACAUUAGAGCGCGAGUUACCUGCAUCCACCCCUUCCAUUCCUCGGUCUGAUCCCUGUUAAGAUACCGCACGGACUUCUCUAAAACUGGCGAGUUUUCUUGAUGCUUCUUGAGAGAAGUAAUCGCUGCGACGAUAAUAAGAAGGAAGUAGAGAAAGAGGAAAAGGUCUCUGUCGUAGUGCUACGUGGAAAAAACAAAAAAUAAGAAAAAAGAAUACAUAUAAUCUAUCUGCAAAAGUGUUGUUUUAACUUUCAAAGGACUAGAAACAAACCUUAGUCGACUCUCCGAAGAGAUUCGUGCGGUCGCAGAUGUAAAAAAACACCGUGACAGCUCCAAAUUCUGAUCUGUAAAUCGUCGAAUCAAAUCAAUCACUGCAUUUCUCUUAAAAGAGAAGUUGUAUUAGCUAAAAGUCAUGAAAACUUAGCUUUACUUACAGGGAUCUUAGCGUCGAGCGGUUCUCUAACAAAAACUCCUUGUCCAUUGAAAGAAAUCUGAAAGUAACAUAACAAAGAAAGAAAAGAAAAGAAAAGGACAUAAAGCAUGAAUGGAGAAGAGCAUUAGAGUGAUUUGAUUAUGUAGUAAAACUUUUGUGUGUGUGUGUGUGUGUGUUGUUCUUGCAACACCUGAGAAAGCUUGGCGACGAUUUGCGAACUUGCGAAGGCGAUGCUAAAGAAGGACCUCCCUUUAACAAGUGAAUUUUCUCAUCGUUUUCGACGAAAUCAGAACCAAAAUCGGCGCCACUGAAAAUCAAAGAAGGUAAACUUGUAUUGAGACCGACAAUCAUUAAAUGUGACGAAAUCAUCGACGAAUUUGAUAAAAGCUUCAGUUUAUUUGACUACAAUCACUCAAUUCAAAAAGAAUCAAAAGUUAAGGGAUUAUCAAAUUAAAAGAAUGUAAAAGUUGAGGAGGUCAUUUUAAUUUGGCCUAUAGUUGAAGUGGUCUCCAUGCAUAGGAGUGAACCUACUUAAGUGGUUUAGAGCUUCAUUGCUGAUUCAAAAAGCUGAAUUAAACUUUUGGGGUUUUAAAUCAAUUCUCUAAUUUGAAGUUUCUACUUUCACAGCAAUGACAAGUUAUUAAGAAGAUCUUAACGGAAAAAGUUAUUUGUGCUUCAUUGAAUAGCUCUACUCAAAUAACUUUCCUAAAUAUGAGAAAUAUAUUCAUGUAAAACUCACUUCUUCGGGGGAUUCGAGUUGUUUAGGUGUUCCAACAGCUCAGAAUAAAGCCAUGCUACAAUUACAGGCAAAAGUCCAAGAAGUAAUGAAACCUGCUACAAAGGGCAUUUCAUUUUAGAAUAAGAGAAUAUCUAAAUCAAAUGAAAUUAAACCACUUUUAGCAAAAUUUAUUCAUCAAUAUACAUACCCAGAACCAAAAGAAAUGCAUUAAAGACCCAGAAAAGAUACCAUUGAAUCCACUGAAUCUCAGUAAAGUCGGAAAACUUUGAUUGUGAGCUAAAAACGCAUUGCUGUAGAGUGCAGUGCUAUUUGAAAAAGUGUGAUAUGAAAAGCACAGUUGGAAAAAGCAGCACAUUAAAGACCCUCUGACAACUUCAUUUUGCAGCAAAAUCAGAAGUAUCAAAUUAGAGCUCGUACUUUCGAGGCUCGAAAUCUUAUUUCUGAGUUUUUCUGUGAUAUGUACUGCUCGUAUUGAAAGCAGAAACAAAGGUAAGGCCAAGCAGGCGUUAAAAAUAACAUUCACAAUCAUAUUUUCUUAGCAUAUAUAGAAAUUAAAGGUAAGGAAUAUGAUGAGACAAAUUUGUAAUAAAAAGAGAGAGAGAAAAAAAAAAAAAAAAGUACCUGGCUAGGAGUUAUGGGGCCUGAAAUCUCCAUUGAUGAUAGUACACUAAUUAAUAAAGAGAAUUCAAAAGAAAGAAGAAAUAAUUAAAACCCAAAAGCAUCCCAAUGUGGACUGUGGAGAACACCCACAAAAAGGAAACACAAAUGAAUCCAAAGAGAAAAAAAAAAGUGCACCACUCCACACUCACAAAUUUCCAUUUAGAGAGAACCAAGCCUCUUAUAUAGGCUAAAGUAGCUGAGGAGAAACAAUUGCAUGCACCCGGUGCGCUGUGUACGGUGCACCGCGCAUACUACUGCAUCAUUUUCUAUCGGGUCGAUCUUUUGGAUAGUAUGGUAUCAGAAUCGAUUAUAAUUUUAUUUGCAGCAGUCUCUGAAUUAGAACUCAAUUUUACAGCUUGUGUUUUGUGGCAUUUAAAAAGCCUGCAUAUCAGAAAUCAUAAAUUUUUUAUAACUAUUCCUUAUGAAUCAACUAAUGAUCUUUUGUAUACUACUGGAUUUUGGGAUUAAUUAUUUGAUGCUUAAUAACAUGUUUCCAACACUUGUAGUACAUCGCAUCUGUCAAAUUAAAUUUUAAUUUUAAAAUAUUAUACAGAGUAUUUAAUAUAAAUAUUAAAUACAUCGUUAUCUGGUAGCUUAAAUUUUAGAGACAAACAGUUGUUCCGCAUAUAUAGUUUGAUAUAGUAUUAGAUAUUUGAUAUGAUAUUAGAGUAGGAGGUUCUGAAUUUGAAUCACGGCAGCCUCGUAACUUCAUGUAAUUUCUCUCCGUUUAAUUUAAGUAAGCGUCUUGGCCGAAACGUGAGGAGGGUUGAAUAUAAAAAUAUUAUUCGCUGACAGCUUAAGUUAUUAAAAAAUAACAUCAAGUACAAUAUUUUAAUGUAACACCAGAGGACAACUUAGAUAAAUCAAAAACAUGGAUAGGACAAAAACACUUUUGGUACUCAAAACUAUGAAGUAAUGUGGAAGAACGAGUAGAAUUUAUCUCAACUAUAAAUCAUUCUAAAUUUACGGUCUGAUAUUUCAAAGUUUGAUUUUACUAUUUAGCCUUUCAAUUUGUUAAAUUUGAGUCAGUCAAUGAUAGUUUGACUUUAAAUAAUACCAAAAACCACCGGAUAUUAUUGAAAAGAAAAUUGCUACUUAUACACUUUAUUAUAAGAUAUAAAUCUUGUACCCCAUUAUCCUGAAAUUUAGAAAACUCCUUAAUGUAAAAAGAAAGGUUGAUAAGAUUGGCGAGUAAAUUCUAGCCUUUAAAAAGAGGCUACAUGUAUACUUUAUUUUAAGGUAUAAAUGUUACACCCCAUAAUUUUAUUAUUUAGAUAAUUUUUUGAAGUUUUAGUGUAAAUAAAAAAAAAGAUUGAUAAGACAGGCGAGUAGAUUGUACCGACCCAACCAGCUAGCAAUAAUAACUCAUUGGGCCCAAACUAUCGGGUCCAAAAUACUUAAGACACACACACAGCCCAAGAUUACCCGGCGAUGUGAGACUUGCCUCGCUAGGUUUGUCAUUCCGAUUCUGACUUAGCCUGUCAUUUACCAACUCUGGUUUUGUCCGUUAUUCUAAUUCUGACUCAGCCAAGACUUAUCUCACACUUUCGGCUAGUGAACCGGCUCUGAUGCCAAAUGUAACAACCCUGCCCGCUAACAAUAAUAACUCGUUUGGCUCAAACUACCGGUCCAAAAUGCUUAGGCCUAGUUAUUACUACUAGGGUGGAGCCUUCUUAUAUACAUAAUGACGAUCCAUUUCUAUCCAAUAUGGGACUAUUGGGCAUCACAUAAAUUCUAGCUUUCAAGAGACUGGGGUGUAAAUCUUACAUAUUUAUGCUAGGUGUAGAGGCAGCAUUGUUGUAUAUAUCAUUGUCAAUUUCUCACAGCGAUAUUGGAUUUUCUCACGACGAUUAAAUGGUUGUGAAUAAAUUCGUAAAUCGUUGGCAGCUUUGAGAUAAAAUAACUGACGCCACCGUCUCCUCCUGCUGUCCUUUCUGAGAAGCAGAUUUUAAAGUCACCUAACUCAUUUCUCUCUUCUUUUCUAGCAUUAACUAAAAAAAAAAAAAAGAAAAGAUAAACAUUAGCCCGGUUUAUCUGACCCACACCACCCAACUCAUCUCAUUAGAAAAUAAAAACCAACCUAACCCGAAAUAUAAAUCCGUAAUCAUCUACAAAAAAAUUCAAAAUCGUAUUUACUCUGUGAAUGAGUUUUCACAGGGUUUGUACACAGGGAUAUUGGAUUAAGACAACAUCACUUUUUACAGAGGUUAAUUGGAUUUAAAAUCCAACAAACCUUUUUCCUUUUGAUGGAUUGAAAAUUUUGAAAAUUAAGAUGAUAGAUUAUAAUCUAAAACAAAAUAAAAUCAUCAAAUAAUCAAGACUUUUUGAUAACGAACGUUAUCUACGUAAACAUGUAAGCACGUGACAUGAAAAUAACCAGUAAAUAAAAUAAACUAACAAAUUAGAGAUAGUAGGUUACUCAAAUACUCAAAAAAGUUUUUUUUUUAUUUUUAUUUCGUUCUUACGUGGUCCACGCACGUUAAUUAAAAUUCUUCUGUUUAGUUUGAGAAUUUUUAGUUUGAUAAACUUUCCAGUCUAUUAUGUUAGUUGUAUAAAAAUUUUUUAGACUCGACAGUAAGGGUUUGUUUGGUUUCAAAUUAAGUUGACACAUAUUAAAGUGGAAUUUAAGUAUGUUUUUACAUACUUAUGAAAAAAUUGGUAAAAUAACGUCACAAUUAAUUUUUUGAAAAAAAAUUCAUUUUCCUUAGGUUUCCCCUUUUUUUUUUUCUUCUUUUCUUUCUUUCUUGUCUUUUGUUCUUACUAGGGAGAAACUCUCUUUCCUGUCUAUGGAUUGUAAAUAAAGUAGUUCUUUCUAAUUAAUCAAAUCCUUUAAAACUAAAACUAGAAUGUUGGUUUUUAAUUGAUUUUGGUUUCACAUUAUUUACUAGACUNUCUGCCACCGCAGUCAAUAAAAUAGAGUUUCGACGGUUGCUAAAUGCUUAAAUAAGUGUUGGUAAAUUAGCAGCACUCUUUUAGGUUAUAGCGACACUCUUUAACUGUUACUAUAUACCUAGCGACCCCACAUAUAGCAACACUUUUUAAAAGUGUCGGUAAUUUUAGCUAGCAGCACUUUUUUGACAUGUACCUACAUUUAAAAGUGUCGCUAUAGAUCGUUUUUGUUAUAAUGUUUAGCCAAUUUAAUUCAUGAGCUUUUUGUAUGUAGAAUUGGAGAGUAGAGAGAGAGAGAGAGAGAGAAACUCUCAUUAUUGCUGCAGGUGCUUUUAGUUUCCUUGGAUGCUGCUGAAUAGAAAGCAUGCAUGAGUGUUAUUCAAUUGUUGCUUCAUGUUAAUUAUUAUUAUUAAUUAUUGUCAUCAACAACCCAUUUUUUCCAACCAAUAAUUAUUCAGUAUUAUUGCUGCAACUUAACAUAAUGUCCUCCCUAUAACUAGUUUGACAUAUCACAUAUGGGAUGUGCAUGUAUCUGAUCAAUCCUAUUGAACCAUUUCAACUGUGACAAUCUAAUAGUCCCACAUUAGAUAAAACGGUUUAUCAUUGAAAAUAUAAGGGACGUUCGACUUUAGUAGUAAUAAUUAGGUUUAAAUAUUUUGGGCCGGUGGUUUCAAUCCAACGAGUUACAUAUCAUUACUAAUGGAUCAAAUCGUCACAUCGACUCAGUAAAAUAUUAUUUUACAUUAAUGCAGCACAAAUUUAUUAUACAAAGAGAGGAUAAUGAACCUUUAAGUAAUGACAACAUGGUAAAUUCAAAGUUGAUAUAAUGUCAAAAAAACAAUUAUGUAUUUAUCCAAGAUGGAAAGACUAUUGAGACCAAUAAUAAAAAAAUAAAAAAUAAAUAUGAAUGAAAAAUCACAAGAUUUGAAAACCUACUAGCUACCAGGGCAAUAACAAGCCAAAAAUUGCGACAAAUUAUCAUUCUGGGGACUGAAGUGUCACGCUCCUCAUGGUUUGAGACUAAGGUAGCAUUUGGUUCGGGAACAAGGAGGGAAAUAAGCCCUUGUUACUCUCUUUGUUCCCAAACGCAGCGUUUCGUGCCAGAGAACAGUAGUUCUCGAGUUUCUGGAAUAAGCCGAUAUAAGGCUAGAACUGCUGUUCCACUUUUUUCCUAGAAUAAACUUGUUCCCAGGUGAGAAUAAGGUUAACUAAAGUCUAAAAAUAAUUUUAAUUAUGGUAUUAAUUAAUCUAUUUAUUUAUUUAUUUAUUAUUUAAUGCUUAAAUAAUAAAAUAAUUUAUUAAUUUAUUAUUAUAAUUAUUAAUUAAGAUAUUAUUAUUUAUAAUUAUCAAUAAUUAAUUUAAUUAUUUAAAUUACUAUUAAUAAAUUAUAAUUAAUUAAUUAAUUUUAUUAUUAUUAUUUAUAAUUAUUUAAUUAAUUAAUUUAAUAUUAAUAAAUAAUUUGUAAUAUAUAUUUAUUAAUAAUUUAUUAUUAUUAAUUAUUUCAUUUAUUAUUAAUUAAUGUAUUAUUAUUUAUAAUUAUUAAUAAUUNNNNNNNNNNNNNNNNNNNNNNNGCUGUGAGACGUCUCGACAGCUGUUCGGAGAGGACGAUUUGCGGUCCCUAUGGUAUAUAUUUAUUGUUUAAUGAUUAUUAAUAUUUAUUAUUUAAAUUAUUAUUUUAAUAAUUAAUUAAUUAAUAAUUAUUAAUAUUUAUUAUUAUGUAAUUAAGACAAUUCCGAGUCGCGUUCGCGCGAAAUAGAUGCAAAACGGACUCAGCUGGGACGCAAGAGCAGGACUUGGCAUUAGAAUCUGCAAACAGCAGAUUUUAUGCUUGUUGUACCGGUACAACCAUUAAGGCGUACCGGUACACUUUCUGUACCGGUACAACAUCAGGGGUGUACCAGUACACUUUGACGGUUUGUGCGCAGCUGCUCUCGGGUUGCCAUUUGUACUGGUACAAAUAAUCAUGUACCGGUACACCAGGUAGGUGAGAGGGCAAAUGAGUCAUUUCUCACCUCGUUUGUGUCACCCACUCCUCUCCACCGCUUAUAUGUACGUAGAGGGUUAGAGAGAUGGAUUUUUAUUGCUUCUUCACCUCUCUCUCUCUCUAGACUUGAUCCGUUCGUGGAGGAGCUUGGGUGGAGUUGUUUUGUCGCCGACGUCGCGCUGCGGAGCCAUUCGAGCACGCGAGCGUUGUGGUGGCUGCGUUGGGAGGCCGAGCGAGCGUGUGAUUCUGCCGUUCUCGACGUCGCGCCGGAUUGAGUUUAACUUUCGAGGUGAAUUUAUCAUCGGAUUCUACUCCUAAUGUCUCGUUGUCGGCAUGUAUAUUUGGUGGAUGCAUUUCACGUGUAAUAGCUCGAAUUCAUGAUCUUUCAUGUUGUUGACAUCUAAACUGAAUUUGGAGCUUAGUUUUAUUAUGGAUAAAUUAUACGUGUUGGACUUGGAUAUGACAUAGGAGAAAAAUAGCGUUAUGGAUCUGUCACCUGUUUACACUAUCAGAUUUAGCUCUAGGAGCCGUUAUUAUUUUGUAUCACCACAGUAUUAGUGUGGUGGAUAUCCCAGGUAGUGUAGAUUAUUGUUACGCUCGUGCUGGGAUGUCAAGCCUAUUUUUACAGUAAAGUUUAGACUGUUCCGGACUGUUGGGUGCCGUCGAGAUUGACAGUGGACCCGGAUUGCCGUUUUGGCAUCAUAUUGUGCCGAGCGCACGUGACUUGUGGUUGGUAGACCAGUUUGACCCUGUGUACUUGACUAUAGCCUGUGAGAACCUAAUUGAGCUCGGCAGAGAUACGCUUGCAUACUCGGUUGGGUAGCUCUCACGAGUGCCACUCCGGAGUCGGGCUUUGUGGUUUUGCGUUGGUAUCGUUGUGUCCUGAUUGGACUUGCUCUCCACUAACUACCCAGCGUAGUGGUUGUUAGUGUAGCUUCGACAGGCGGGACGGGUGUAUCACAGUCCCUGGUGAGAUUGGGUCAGGAUUUACUUUCACUACAGUUGGUUAGUGUAGAGCAUGAUAGUGUAGUGGUAUCUAGCUGUAGAUGUAUUUCCAGCUUUUCCUACUAUCCCAGCUCCUUUCUGUAGACUUAGUGGGUAGACCGAUGAUGUUGAGAGCGGCACCCACUGAGGACUACUUGUUUUCACAGUAGUUCUCACGCCUAGUUGUUUCUUUUCGUUUUGCAGAGCCUUCGGUGCCGGCUGCUGCGCCCUCUGAGUUUGAUCGUGGCAAGGGCGUCGCGAGUUAGAGACCUACCAGACGAGCCAGAGCUAGUGGAGUACCAGCUACAGGUAGUUGUAGUUUUUGAGUUCUUAUACAUACUGUCAUUACUAUUUCUCGCGAGGCGAGAUUUUGUAUACUGAUGUUGUAUGUAUAGUGAACUUUUAUUUGCCACUGGUUAUGUUUUGUCCCUUACAGCCCUAUACUACUGGUUGUAGUGUUGUAUUUUUAUAGGUACAGCUAUCGUUUCGUAUACAGAAAAAAAAAUUUUAUAUACGGCGAAUUUGUCGGCGUACCCGGUGAACGUGAUAUCCGGGGCGUGACAUUAUAACUAUUAUUAAUUUAUUAUUUAUACUAUAUUAUCUAAUUAACUUAUUAUUAAUAAUAUAUUAUUAUUAAUAAUAUAUUAUUAUUAAUAAUAUAUUAUUAUUAAUUAUUAAUUAUUAAUUACUUAAUUUAUAAUUAAUAAUAAUUUAUUAUUUAUAAUUUAUUAUCUAAUUAAUUUUUUAUUAACUAAUUAAUUUAUUAUUUAUAAUUAUUUAUAAUUUAUUAUUUAAUUAUAAUUAUUUAAUUAAUUUAUUGUUUAUAAUUAUUAAUAUUAAUUUAUUAUUUUUAAGUAAUAUUUUAAUGUUAAUUAAUUAGAUAAAAUAAUUUUAAUUUAAAAUUAUAACUCAUAUUCAUUUUGUUCCACUCUAACCAUCCAAAUACUAUUUAUACCUUAUUCUUAGGAGCAAUUCAAUUUUCAUCCAAACGCAAAAUUGGUCUGAUUCCUGCUUAUACCUAAACUUAUACAUAUUGCUGAAAUAAACAGUUCUUACUUAUACCCGAAUCAAACACAGCCUAAAAUUAAGUGUAAUCUACCCAAAAAUAAACAUCCAAAUUUCACAACUUUUUGCUAUUUUCAAUAAUCAAAUAAUAUAUAUGCAGUAAUCAGAUGCAUGCAAUAAUCAGUCACAUGCAAUAGAUAUUAAUUAAAGUCUUUUAAACAUCAGAUAUAUACAUGUGCAAUAAUUAAAAUACAAGCAAUAAUUUCUCUGAAAAAUGAGGGAUCCCAAAUAAAUUGUUUGCCCCUGAACUCCUGGAUUGAAUGAUGGUUCCCAAAAAAAAAAAUUUGUUUAUUCAAAACUGUAUAUAUGUUCAGCGUUUGGUUAGGGGAUAGGGAUAGGAAUAGGCCCUUAUCCCCCUUUAUACCCAAACGCUAAUUUUUUAGCCGAGAAUAGUAAUUCUCGAGUAUCCCCACCAACACCUUUAUUUUCUAUAUAAAACUAUCUAAAAUUGUUCUUAUCCCCCGGAACAACCCAAUUUUUAUCCAAACACUAUUUUUCUUAUUCCCAUACUUGUAUCUAUUCCUGUAAUAGCUAGUUCUUGCUUAUACCCGAACCAAACGGUACUAAUUAUGAAUAACAUUCCAUGUGCUGGGUUCAGAGUUCUUGAUUUUUAUUUAGUUAUUGUGAAUUGUGAUCAGUGUAUAUAUAUAUAUAUAUAUAUAUAUAUAUAUAUAUAUAUAUAUAUAUAUAUAUAUAUAUAUAUAUAUAUAUAUAGAGUUGAACUAGAAUACUAUCGGUAGCAAACGGUCUCCGUUGCCACCCAUUUGUUUUUGAUAAUGGAGCCUCCAAAUCAAUGAUCGGCAUCGUUGAAUAUGUUCUAUACUACUUGAAGUAUCUAGAAAUCGAAUUUUAUACUUUUUCGAUAUUGCUCUCUUGUCCAUCAAGUGGGCGUAAAAAUGAACGGCUGAAAAUGAAUAUCCUCUAAAAAAUGAAGAUAAAAAUUUUGUAAUCAAGAUCGAGAGUAUAGAUCUUAUUCUAAAUAGUUUAAAGAAUUUUCUAACCAAAAUUCAAUUGAUUUGGAUAGCUUUACACCGUUAAACGAGAAAAUGCCUCAUAUCUACCAUUAAAAUUACAAAUUUUGAAAACCUUUGAUCAUUAGGUCAAUGAUGUCGAAAUGAUUUGAAAUUUGAUUUCUAAAUAGUUCAAGUGGUAUAGAUCAUGUUCAACGGUGCCGAUCGUCAAUUUAAAGGCUCCAUCAUCAAAAACAAAUUGGUGGCAACGGAGCUAGUUUGCUACCGAUAGCAUUUCAGCUCAAUUCUAUAUAUAUAUAUAUAUAUAUAUAUAUAUAUAUAUAUAUAUAUAUAUAUAUAUAUAUAUAUAUAUAUAUAUAUAUAUAUAUAUAUAUAUAUAUCCAUACAAGCUAGGUACAUGGCAAGUGUUGUGUAGCGCAGUUUGUUGGUAUCUUGAACAUUGAAUCAUAGCUUUUUGAUUGUGAAUCAUAACUAGCGCGAGAAAUUGUGCGUGUCGAUGAUCAGCUUGUAUGCAUCUUCAAGAGAAAAAAAAUAAAUAAAUAAAUAAAAGACAAAAAAAAUAAAAGUAUCCAAGAUAUAGAUUUUGGCCUGUUUGGAACAAAAACAAAGUAUAACACUAAACAAGAAGUUAGAUAUUUGGCAAGUAAAAUAAAAAGUAUUUAAUAUAUAUAUAGAGAGAGAGAGAGGGUUGACCUAGAAUAUGAUCGGUAGCCAGCAGAUUCUGUUGCUACCAAUCUGUUUUCGAUGAAAAACUUUCAAACAAUUAACACAUCGAACAUGAUUUAGACCAGUAAAAAUAUCAACAAGUCAAAUUUUAUAUUUUUUCGAUAUUGUUCUAGAUCUUCUACAGAAGUGAAUAAAAAAAUGAACGGCUAAAAAUAAAUAUCUUUCAAAAAGUGAUGUGUAAUCGAGACCAGAAGUAUAGAUCUUAUUUUAAAUAUUUUAAAAUAUUUUCUAACAAAAAUUUAAUUGAUCUAGAUUUAUUUACAAUAUUAAACUAGCAAACGCCUUAUAUCAAUAAUUAAAAUUAUAAUUUUUAUAACCUAUGAUUAUUAGGUAAAUAAUUUCGAAAAGAUUUGAAAUUUAAAUUCUAAAUAUUUCAAAAGUAGUAUAGAUCAUGUUUAACAGUGCUGAUCGUCGAUUUGAAGACUCCAUCAUCGAAAAGAAAUUGAUAGCAAUUAAGUCCGUUUGCUAUUAAUAGUAUUCUAUACCAACUCUCUCUCUCUCUCUCUCUCUCUCUAUAUAUAUAUUAUAUAAUAAUACUAACCAAGAGUAAUCUAUACCAAAUUAAACUAAAUAUAAGUUUGGAUUAAUCCCCAAAACAAAAGUUUAAUAAAAAUGUAUGAAGAUCUAGGCAUCACGGACACUGAUACGGGACACAGGAUAAGACACAACUCUGACACUGUGACUCGACAGCUUUCAAAAAAUUAAGGUUACAAACACGGCAUAGACACCGCUAAUAAAACAUAUAUAUUAUUAAUAAUAUAAUAAUAUAUAUUAUUAUUUAUAAAUAGUUUUACUAAGCUAUUACUAUAUUUCUCGUAUGAAUGAAAAUUAAUAAAAUUCCUACCAUACAUAAUUUAAUUAUAUUGUUCAAAAAUUUUCAUAUGUAUUUAUCAAAAAAUCAAAAUAUUUAUUUAUCUUACAAAAAAUAAAUGAGGGAUGUAUGUCCAAAUAGCCUAUAGUUGAGGGGGGUCUCUAUUCAUUUUUAACUAAAGAAACACUUUGUUCUAUUUCAGUAAAAUGAUUCAAAAACAUUCACACUAGGGUCUAGGGAUGGCAAUCCAGCUCGCUAUUCACGAGCCAACUUAUGUCCGGUUCAAAACGAGCUUGAGGUCGAAUCGCUCGUUAACUGUCCGGCUCAAAACGAGCUUGAGGUCGAAUCGCUCGUUUAGUUAACGAGUCGAAUAUGAUCUGAAUUUUUCAGCUCAUCUAAUAAACGAGCUAAACAUGAGCUGGGGUCAGCUCGCUCGUGCUCGGCUCGAUAACAGCUACAUAUAUUUUAUAUUUAUAUAAUUUAUAUAUUUUAAUUUUUAUAUAUAUUUCAUUCUUUAUAUAUAUAAAUAAAUAUUUAUAUAUAUAUAUAUAUAUAUAUAUAUAUAUAUAUAUAUAUAUAUAUAUAUAUAUAUAUAAUGCAAAUUUUUAUUAUUUAAUUUUUAGCUCAAUCUAAAUAUAAAGUCCAACUGAAUAUCAUAAAAAUUUUUAUUUAUAUAUAGAAUUUCAACCAUUAGAUCAAAAUCUAACAAAUACAAUCUCAUAAAUUUAUUUCAUAUACAUAUCCUUUUUAAUCUUUUUAACUUGUUGCUCAUGAGCUAACUCGUGUUGAGCUUGUUAAUAGACGAGCCAAACACGAGCUGAAUUUUUAGCUUGAUACUUUAACGAGCUAGCUCGUGUUCAUCUCGUUUAUGAGCUAGCUCCAGCUCGCUCGUGUUCGGUUCACUGACAAUCCUACUUCACGCCAGCAUCUUUGGGACGUUAAACACCACCAAAGAAAAGCAGUAGAGUACGAUGGCGGCGAUUGCUGCUACGACGAUGUUGCAGAGCAUGCGCUUGUCGUCGCCGCUCGGCACGAAAGCCAUCUUGAGUCUGUUCGUCAAUCCAAACACUCUAUGUGCAACCUGCAGAUGAAACUCAUCUCAAGAACUUGGCUAAAUUGCAGAAAACUCUCUUAUACAUUGUGAUUUUUCUCUUUAGUCCUGAAAUAUAUAUCAGGUAUUCUGGUAUAAUGUUAACGUAAAAUACUUAUGUUACUAAACUUUCUCGCAUAUUAGCAUAUUAAUGAUCAAAGGUUAUUAAUUUGAUGCAAAAAGAUCUGGUUUUUUUUUUUUCCUUCCUUUUUUACUCCAAGGGUACGUCGAAUUGCAAUAAAUGAAAAUAUAUGAAAAUUCCUCAACUUUGAACGUUUUAACUUAGAACCCCCUUAGCUUCUUAAUUUUGGAAGUAAGUAACUUUCAUUGAAUAAAUUGGAGAUUUUAUCAUUUCACUCAUUUUUUAGCAAUAAGACUAGAACGAUUAACAGUUAAUAGCUAACAAAAUCACCAAAUUAACUAAAUAAAAUUUUUAACUGCAGUAACUGAAGUAAAUCAAAAAAAGAAAAAAAAAAGUAAAUAAAUUAAAGGUGGGGAGCUAUUUCAAAAUCGCAUUAGUUGAGGGGGUCUUCAUACAUUUUUACCUUUUUUCUUUGGUUUUUUUCCCCCAUAAUUUCACACUAUUAUUAAUAUGAUAUAUACAUACUGUGACAUAUAUGGCAGUGGUGAGCAAAAAAUUGAGCAUUGGAUAGUUGGGGAUGAGAGAGAGGUUUUUUCGUGCUCUUUUAUCUGGCCCUCCUGUUCUGCAAGCACACCAAAAAAAAAAAAAAAAAAUGUAAAUAAAUAUAUUACCAUCUUUAAUAUAUUAAGUUGUACUUAAUUUCUAAAAAAAAAUUAUAGAUAUAUGUGCACUUAAUAUAACAACCCGAAACGCUAGCAAUAAUAACUCGUUGGGUCUAAACCAUCGGCCCAAAAUACUUCAAUCCAGUUAUUAUUAUUAGGGUGUGAGGCUUCUUAUGUUCCUAAUCAGAAAGGCCUCUUAUGUUACUAGUCAGAAUUCUUUUCUUAUCCAUGUCGGACUAUUGGAAUGUUAUAAACUUCCUCCAUUUAGACCCUGACGUUCUCGUCAAGUCUAAAUCCGAUCACAGCCAGAUAGAUCAGAACUACCAGGCGAUGUGAGAGAAGACUCUAGAAAGUGACUAUUACAGUUCAAGAUAUAGCUCUCACCAAAAAUCUGUGACAAAGUUCAAGAGAUGGCUCUGUUAGAAAAAAUAUCCGGCACUUAAAAAUCGCAGCGGAAAAACGAAAACGAAAUCCAUAUCACAUAUGAAACAAAACAAAACAAAUCAAUCCAGUGCCGGCGGAUCAUUCUCAUGUUACAAUGUAAAAUAAAAUCUAAUCUAAACAAAUCCGAAGUUUAGAUUACAUUACCUUGGACCAGUUAAGGUCUCUUGAUCUACUGUACGGUUGAAGUUGAUCCUCCGAUUAGCCGCGCACGUGCCCGGCCUCUACGCGUAUCCACACGGAAUUGAUCCCGAUCCAACGCCUUCCGUCGUAUGGAACAGAUGAGUCGCAGAUCACGAAGACGGUGCUAGCAGUCUUCCGAUGUCUACGUUCCUUCUUGGGAAAAUUAUUGUGGACUUACGAAAGUUUGAGAGAGAAGAAUAUUUGAAUCCUAUUCACGUCAAUUAAUGAUAUCUCGCACCCUUAAUGAAGCCGCAGCUAAGCUAUAUAUAUAGCUCUGCUUAAUUAAGGAGUACAAACAAAGAGCCGUACGAAACGGCUUCUUAAUUGAGCCGUAUCUUUGUUGUAACUAAUUAUAUUCAAAUAGUUACAAUCCCAAUUUGAUAAUUUUCAAUUAGUUAUAAUUCUAUACUAUCUGUUGCAACUAAUUGGAUUACAUCCAACUAAGGAUUACAUCCAAUUAGUUGGAACAUAGGAUAUUUUAUUAUCUCUCCCUUUAAUUAGAUCAUAUCUAUUAUAACUAAAUAUUCAUAUUUAAAUCUAAUUUAAUUAGAAUAUUAUCUCAUAAUAAUUUAUGAAUAUUCAGUUAUUCUCUAAUCCAAUUAGAGAUAAAAUCUUUCGUAACAAUCAAAUUAUAAUCCUCACUAUUUUCACUAAACCGUUUAGUGUAUUAUUCUCAUCUUGUCCUGUUGGAUGCACACAAUUCCUAUUGUGUGUGACCGCAUAGGUUCAUUACCAUUCGGCAGUGGAGCUAAAUAUCAAACUCUUUGAUAUUUAAUUAGAACCCUUCUAAUCGAUAAAUAAGAAUAAUUAAAUUCUAAUCAUUCAUAUUCUCUCACCGUCCGUGAGUGACACCUAGCAGUAUAUCACGACAAUCCAGAAUGGUGAUGAAGAAUAAACCUUUCCGCUUACAGUUACCGUAUGAUUAAUUCCUUUCAACACACAACGUCCCGAUCGAACCAAAAUUAUGGUUACUCGCCAAAUCUUAUUAUUCGAUCAUAUGACUAGAAUAUCUAGAACCGAUUCAAUAUGGUAACACAUCUGGAAACUCUUUCCAUACACCACAUGCCCUGGCCAGGGAUUUUUCGAAUCGAGUCUGAUAGUCUACAUAGAACGUUCUCUCUCAAUAUUGAGAGUGUUGAAUUCCUUAUUGCGCACUCACAUGCCUCCCCAUAUAAAUCACUAUAGCCAAUCAGUACCGAACAUAAACCCGUGUCUAGAGUCUAAGUAUUAGUACUGUUAAACUGUAGCAACCUAUACGUGAAGCAACUAUGAUGCCUCAGGUCCAAGGAGUACUUCACACAACUGUAGCAAUGAACUUAUCACUGGCGAGCAUAGAACCAUGUGACAGUUCAACCAAAUAGUCACGCUCAGUGUACUUGUUCUUUAACAAGCACCUGUAUGCUUACUUUAGUGUCUCUACACUAGUGACUUGAGACUCGUCACCUCAACUUAGAAGUAUAGCAUACACCGGCCUAUCCGGAAAUAUCAUCGCCCUUAUGAUAUUCCUAUGGCUAGGAGCAUUUAAGAAUCUUGUACUAAGAAAUAUAUAUCUCAAAUUCCUAACUCUUAGGAAUAUAUUUUCUUAACGAAGAUUCAACGGACGAUUCAUAUAUAUAUAUUGUACUGCGAACAAUAAAUAUGAAUAAAACUUGCCCUUUAUUAAUUAAGAAAAAUACUUAAUAUAUCCACAAGCCUAUGUCACCGAUUGGCUUUAGGGUUUAUCACUAACAGGCUCCCACCAAAUCCGUGGUGUAGCAUUUUGCCAUGCAUAACACGUAAUUCUCAUACUUUCGGCUGAUAUUUGUCUCUACUAUCAAACUAUAUCAUGUCGAUCCGCUAGCAAUAAUAAUUUAUUGGGCCCAAACCACCGCCCCAAAAUGUCUAAACCUAGUUAUUAUUAUUAGGGUGCAAUAUCCUCUUAUAUUCCUAAUCAAAAUCCUUUUUCCAUCUUCUCUCAAAAAAAAAAAAAAAAAAAAAUCAUUGAACUAUUGGAGCGUUACACUUAACCAUAUUCAUUUUUAACAAUAUUACUUUUAUUGUUAUAACCCUCUUGCAUAUUUCUAAUCUAUCAAAGAGGGUUAAGUGCAUACUUUUUUAUUUUAGGGGUUAAGUGCAACAAGUCAUAUAUCAAGAAAAGUAACUUACAUUUUAGCCUAAAUAAAAAGGGUUUCUUCUAUGUUUACUAAUAUAUAUAUAUAUAUAGAGAGAGAGAGAGAGAGAGAGAGAGAGAGAGAGUGUUUGGCUACUAUACUGUCUAUAGUACCAAACUUUUAGUACUAUCGAGUUUUCUGCCGUUAGAUCUACCCAUUGAUCAUUUCCAUCCGUUAGAUUAUACUAUUCAACCAACCACCCACUCAACUCUAGGGGACCAGUAUUAUUCUAACCGUGGACCACUAUAUAUCAUCCUAACUGCACAUAUUUUCAUCCAACGGCCGAAAACUCGACAGUACCAAGUGCUUGAUACUAUUGAUAGUAUCGUAGCAUAUAUAUAAAACUGUCCUGUCCUAUAACCUAUAUUUUAACACCUUGUAAUUUUUAAGAAGUAUAUUAUUAGGUGAAUUUAAAAUAAAAACAUAGGAUAAUUAAUUAAGCGCAACUUUAUGAAUCAUAGGGAAGAAAAAUAAAAUAUGCUAAACCGCAUGGAGGCAAAUUGAAGUUUAAUAAAACAAAAGAAUGGGGACUGUACGUAACUAUUUUAUUUUUAAAACGAGGGAAUCUCCAUAUAUUUUUACCUAAGAAGAACGAAAAGCACCGCACCUAGGACGUUGAAAAUGUUAAAUUAAGAGUCUACCUGGCUUGUCGUUUCAAAUAACUUCUCUAAUCUAGAAAGCAGAAGCUUUCGAGCAUUUACUGAGCCAAAAGUUUAGAGCUUUUGUGGUCCUUACGCCGUAACAUGGGAGUUAUUGAUGAUAAUGCAAUGGAGAAAGAAAAUACUGUUUCUUCGAAUGGCUCCGCUCAAACAAUAUUUUCACAGAAGCAACAGUCAAGCUAAACAUGAACUAGUUCUAUAAAUAACAUGAAAGUUACGAGAAAACCUCAGCCAGAUGUGGCACUGCGAUAUGUAAGUUUCGAGCGUAAUCUUUCCAAGCCACCUGAUAAUUUGAAGAAACAAUGAUCAAAAUAAUAAAAAAAAAAAAAGAAAAAAAGCAAAUUUUUUUUUAAUAAAAUUGAGAAUAAUUUCGGAAUUGUUGCGAUAAGGCCACUCACCCAAAGAGUGCAAGAGUAUAAUUUCGGAAUUGCUGCGUUAUGUUCCUCAAAACAAUGUACACACUGAUUUUCGACGAAUAAAAUGAUAAACAUGUAUGAAUAAUUCAAUAUGUGAUAUUGAUCAAAGAUGCUUAAAACACGAUAUUAUCGUAUAAUCAAGGUUAAAGCUUACGUGAUCGGUAUCCAUGAUGUAUAGGGGUGAUAUGCGAUAUACGUACGCCUAUCGAGCUUGAACACAUACUCGUACCACAGGUAACCAACCUAAAGAAGUACACAGUAAGAACAUAUAAGACCUCACCUGAGUUAUAGCAUAUUUUGAAACAGGCUCCUGAUACUUUAGAGCACUUGUUAAAUCUUUGACAGAAUCAAUAUGUUUCAUCAAAAUGUUAGAAAUGCUGGUAAGAUUAGAGAGUAAAAUCAAAACUUUUGAAGUUUGUAUAUCUAUUUUGUGACACCCCUAUAAUUAGGAAUAUUUUUAUUUAUGAGAUAUAUAUAAUAGGGCUUAAACCUCUUAACCCGAUUAUAAUAUUUUGGACGGUGGCUAGAUCCAAGAGAUUAAGAGAAUUAAGCGUAUUAAAACUAGAGUAGUUUUAUGAUGGUUGACCUCUUGGAAAGCAGUGCAUUACAGUUGGUAUCGUGGGCUAAUCACUAGCCGGAAUUGUAAGAUGAGUCUUGGCUAGGCAAGGAUCAUAUAGCAGGUACGUACAACGCGGCUCUCCGACUGACAAAAGUUACGGGUAGAGCGUGUCUCUCCAUAAGGUCGGCUAGGGUUAACGAAAUGAGUCUCACAUCGUUUGUUCCUUGCGAGUGUGCUUGAGUCUAACGAGGACGUCAGGACUUAAAGGGGUGAGAAAUGGGACAACUCUAGGAUUGAGAAAAACCCUAUAUAUAUGAGAUAUAAUAGCUAAACCUCUUAACCCGGUCAUAAUAUUUUGGGCAAUAGCUAGACUCAAGAGGUUAAAAAGGUUAAGCAUGUAAAAGCUAGAAUAAUUCUAUGAUGGAUGACCUCCUGGGAAACGGGGUAUCACCUAUUUCGAAAACAUUAUAGGAUGAAAUUGUAAAAUCCAAAAUAUGCUAUAGUUCAAGUAACGUCCGUACAAUUUUUUUAAAAUAAAUUGAAGAUAAAUCCGUGAAAAUUUUAAAUGUUAUCACAAAGAGAUAAAACUUGGAUUGAGUACCACAAAACAAACUGCAACUAUGGAUGCUUUGAUUAGCAUUUGAAGCCACACUCUGGUUUCUUCAAGUUUCUGCAUCCAUCUCUCAACCUAUAUCAACAAACAAUCAAGUUAUUAAAUAAAUAAAAAAUUGUAGACACCACAUUUGUAACCAAAGUUUCAAUUACAUUGUCAUGGUUGUUUAAAAUCAACCUCCUUAACUUUUCAUUGUUUUGAUUGCAUUUCUUUCCAUAAAUGUAAAAGGAAAUUCAUUGUAUAUAACUACUAAUAUUUAACAAAAUUUUUAAUUUAAUCGGUAUGAAACAAGUCACAACCCUUUGUCUCUCUAAGCUGACAAAAAUACGGUAUUUUUAUAUUUUAUAUUCAGCACUCACCGUCGGAUGAUAAUAGGCAUAAAUCAUCCCCAAGAUCCAUAUAUACCGAUCAAGCCCAGAUCGAUAAUGCCAUUCAUCCAUGGGUCCAUGUGGUUCACUUUCGUCCGGAUCACUAUAACCUACAUUACAAAAUGUGGAAACUAAAUCUGAGAAACAAGCGCAACGAAAAAAACCCUACAAAAAAGCACCCCCUUAACUUUCUCAGAAGUUUCACUUUGGCGUCUAUUCUUCGAAAGUGAACUUAACAACUCUAAUUCACAUCUUUAGCACAUACAUGAGUUCAAAUUUCACUUAUAUAGCAUAGAGGUAAUUUAGUGCGUGUUAAGUGGUUCAGAAAAGUAUAUUUGGAUAUGCAUGCAGUGAAAAGCGUACGUAGCAAUGACGACUCACAUUUGUAAAUUUUCAUAAUAGAUCAUUCCCAAUAUAGAAUGUAAGAGGCGAUUAGAUAUGUAGACUUAGUACGGUUGUAGUCAGAACUUGGAACUGCAGCCUACUCUUACAGUUUCAACUGCAGCAGUUAGAUUCACUCCGUAGAAGUUUGGAAGCUCGCUAUCAGUGCAGUUAUAUAUCGAAGAUUUUGAGAACUGACCGAGGAGGAAAGCGAACGGAUGCCACACGAAGUCGAAGACGCCGGGGACCUCCCACACAACAGCAAUAACCAAAAAGCAAGCACCAAUUUUUGCUGCAAUGGCCCAGCCAUACUUGUUGUACUUGUUGAAGAGACCAAGCGCGCAAUACACCAUCAGGGUGAAGAAGGUGUGCAUGGGGCAGAUGUAGUAGAACAUGUAAUGGUUGUCGAGAGCAAUGCAGCAAAACGCGACGAAAAAAUUUAGCCGCCACAUCAUCUUCCCAAAGACAAAACAACAUGUUGUUGGUUAGACAGUAAUUAUGUUGGUUUAAAGGGACCAGCAUCCUGCCCUGUAACAGAAGGCUGGAUUGAGCAGAGUCAUGUUCCAAAUGACGUGAGGCCGGAUUGGAUCGAGUCCUAUUCGAAGUGACAUAAGGCUGGUUAGGUUAAGUAAUAAUCGAGAUCCGUGUGUCAUGUAUGUCUGUAUCUAUACGCUUUAAGUAAAUUAGUUGUGUAUUUCUAAUAGUUCGAGCUUUGGGAUUAAUGAUUAGGGCCAACGAUCUGAUAAAUUAGACCGACUCUAAUUUGAUCAAGGCAUUUGAAUUGAUGGAACUGUAAUUCGAUUGAAAAGUAAGUUUAGGUGGAACGAAGAGAAUUUGUUUUCAAAAAUUCCAACCCAUGACUACGAUAUUUCGUAAACAAUGGACCAUUUUGAAACUGUUACCUUACUUUUCAAAUUUUUGAUUUUCUAAAUCAACGGUAUUUUGACUUCAAAAUUUAUCACAAUUUCGUCAGUUCUCCAAAAAAAAAAAAAAAAAAAAAAAAAAAAAAAAAACCCACUUCAAGUUAUCACAAAUUUCCACAACUGCCUCUAUGAAAAAAAUAUAUAUUUAAAUAUCCACUUUUCUAUUUUCCUUACUGACUUUCAAAAAUUUAUAUUUUACCUCCUCAAAAUUUUAACUUGAUGUAUUUAGCCACGCCGUAUCAGGGUUCCAUCACUAUGCCGUCCAUUUCUUAUAAUUUAUAAUAAAAAUGCCCUUGAAAAUGCUGAAAUAUAUUAAAAUUUUCUUUUUUUUCUUAUAAAAAUGAAAGAGCGGAGCAAUUUAGUUAUUCCGUUCUCUCCAUUAACACCGUUUUUAGCAGUCAGGAAGAAAAAAUUAAAAAAAAAUAAAUACUUACAGAGAGGUUUUCUGUAUCUUAGCCUUUUAUUAAUUACCUGAGCAAAUCGAGAAAGGCUGAAAUCUUUGCGUACGUAGUAGUAGGAGAAGUUCCCAAACCCAGUCAUCCACACGUACGCAGCGAUGAAAGUGCGAAUCGCGUUGUAAGUUUCCAGUGCACCGAAAUAGUGAUACAUCACAAAAAGUACCUUUGUACCACGGAUAAAUGAUCGGGAGUUAAGGUUUGAGAAUAGUCCCACAUCAGAUAACUAUAGCUAAAUGCAGGGGUAUAUAAGGUUGAAUAGGCUUAAGUUAAUAAUUAGGCUAUAGCAUUAUGGAUUAGCGGAUUGGAUCCAAAUGUUAUUAUUGGAUCUAAGGUAAUCCAAUUAGGAACGUAAAUGGGUCGGAUUCAGAGUGAAUUUUAAAAUCAAAAUCCGAACCCGAAACAAUUAUUUCUCUUUACAGCAUUUCAAAACAUAUUACUAUAUAUAAAAUCGAGUCAGGUUCAGGUUAGAGAUGUCAACGGGUUGGAUUCGGGGCGGAUUUUUAAAAACCCGAACCCGACUCCAAACUGGAGACCCGAAUCUGAACCCGACAGAUUUUAAAAAUCCAUAUCCAAACCCGAACCGGAACCUGAAAAUUUGAACCCGAAACAAUUAUUUCCUUUUUCAAUAUUUCAAAAUACAUUCUAUUAAAUCUAAAUUUUUAAAAUAUAAUUUCAAAUAUAACAUCAAAUUUUUAUAUAUAUAUUAUAUAUAAUACAAAAUAAAUUUGGGUUCGUGUCAGGUUCGGGUUCGGAUCGGGUACAGUCAAAAUCCAUAUCCGAAUCCAUAUACGUCAGGUUUCUAUUUUUGAUAUCCAUAUCCAUUUAGCAUCGGAUAUAUCCGUUUCAUUCGGGUUCGAAUUCGGAUAAAAUUUCGGAUAUCCAUACCCAUUGACAUCCCUAGUUCAGGUUGGUUACAAUCAAAAUUCAAAUCCAAAUCCGUCGGAUAUUUAUUUUUGAUAUUCAUAUUCAAAAUUAUAUUCGUUUAAGUUCAGGUUCGGAUUCAGAUAAAAUUUCGAAUAUUCAUAUCUAUUGACAUCCCUAUACCCAAUUAUAGUAUUUGCAUGUAUGACAAGAAAAGAUAUAAUUUGGGCCUGUAUCCUUUGAAAUCUCUCAUAUUUAUAUUUCACAAAUCACACUGAAAUGGAGAGGUGUACACAUACAAAUAUGGGCUAUUUCUAAAAAUAUAGGAACAAUAUUACAAUAUUUUAGAAGGUGUGUACGUAUAAUUGUGUAUAUCUUGUGGGGAUAUAUUAUAUAUACACACAAAAAAAAAAAAGAAAAAGUUCAAAUAGUCCCCUCGUGGCUUAGCAUAUUUUUAAUUCGCCGCCCUGUGAUUUUAUUUUUAUUUCACUAUUAGGGCUUAUCAUCACAAAAAAAAAAAAAAAAAAAAAAAAAAAAAAAAAAAAAAAAAAAAAAAAAAAAAAAAAAAAAAAAAAAAAAAAAAAAAAAAAAAAAAAAAAAAAAAAA